GCGACCCCAGGUCAGGCGGGACUACCCGCUGAGUUUAAGCAUAUCAAUAGGC
rnacentral:rRNA from 1 species